rnacentral:misc_RNA from 1 species
GAUGAAGAACGUAGCGAAAUGCGAUAAGUAAUGUGAAUUGCAGAAUUCAGUGAAUCAUCGAAUCUUUGAACGCACAUUGCGCCCGCCAGUAUUCUGGCGGGCAUGCCUGUUCGAGCGUCAUUACAACCCUCAGGCCCCCGGGCCUGGCGUUGGGGAUCGGCGGAAGCCCCCUGUGGGCACACGCCGUCCCUCAAAUACAGUGGCGGUCCCGCCGCAGCUUCCAUUGCGUAGUAGCUAACAUCUCGCAUCUGGAGAGCGGCGCGGUCAUGCCGUAAAACACCCAACUUCUCAGGUUGACCUCAGAUCAGGUAGGAAUACCCGCUGAACUUAAGCAUAUCAAUAAGCGGAGGA